rnacentral:rRNA from 1 species
CACGUAGGGGGCGAGCGUUGUCCGGAUUUAUUGGGCGUAAAGAGCUCGUAGGCGGUUCGGCAAGUCGGGUGUGAAAUUUCGAGGCUACAACCUCGAAACGCCACUCGAUACUGCUGGUGACUGGAGUCCGGUAGAGGGAGUGCGGAAUUCCUGGUGUAGCGGUGAAAUGCGCAGAUAUCGAGAGGAACACCAGUGGCGAAGGCGAGUCCCGUGGACAACACCUGACACUGAGGCGCGAAAGCUAGGGGAGCAAACAGG